rnacentral:rRNA from 1 species
GACAGAGGAUGCAAGCGUUAUCCGGAAUGAUUGGGCGUAAAGCGUCUGUAGGUGGCUUUUUAAGUCCGCCGUCAAAUCCCAGGGCUCAACCCUGGACAGGCGGUGGAAACUACCAAGCUGGAGUACGGUAGGGGCAGAGGGAAUUUCCGGUGGAGCGGUGAAAUGCGUAGAGAUCGGAAAGACCACCAAUGGCGAAGGCACUCUACUGGGCCAUUACUGACACUAAGAGACGAAAGCUAGGGGAGCAAAUGGG